rnacentral:rRNA from 1 species
GAGUUUGAUCCUGGCUCAGAACGAACGCUGGCGGCAGGCCUAAUACAUGCAAGUCGAGCGCACCUUCGGGUGAGCGGCGAACGGGUGAGUAACGCGUGGGAAUGUGCCCUUCUCUGCGGAAUAGCCAUUGGAAACGAUGAGUAAUACCGCAUACGCCCUUCGGGGGAAAGAUUUAUCGGAGAAGGAUCAGCCCGCGUUAGAUUAGGUAGUUGGUGGGGUAAUGGCCUACCAAGCCUACGAUCUAUAGCUGGUUUGAGAGGAUGAUCAGCCACACUGGGACUGAGACACGGCCCAGACUCCUACGGGAGGCAGCAGUAGGGAAUCUUAGACAAUGGGCGCAAGCCUGAUCUAGCCAUGCCGCGUGUGUGACGAAGGCCUUAGGGUCGUAAAGCACUUUCGCCAGGGAUGAUAAUGACAGUACCUGGUAAAGAAACCCCGGCUAACUCCGUGCCAGCAGCCGCGGUAAUACGGAGGGGGUUAGCGUUGUUCGGAAUUACUGGGCGUAAAGCGCGCGUAGGCGGGCUGUUAAGUUAGGGGUGAAAUCCCGGGGCUCAACCCCGGAACUGCCUUUAAUACUGGCAGCCUAGAGUUCGAGAGAGGUGAGUGGAAUUCCGAGUGUAGAGGUGAAAUUCGUAGAUAUUCGGAGGAACACCAGUGGCGAAGGCGGCUCACUGGCUCGAUACUGACGCUGAUG